UUUAACCCAAUAAUUAUUUAAUGAAAAUAAUAGAAUUACGGAUUUAAACCCAUAAAAUUCAAAUUCUAGACCCGCCUUCGCUAACGGACCAAAAGAGCAAGCAAUAGCAGUACAUACCUUCCAUCUCCUUCCAAUAAGAAUUAGCAACUUGUUUUUAUCUUUCCAACCCGGCAAAGUUAUGACUUUUGGUUAAACUUUGACGUACCCAUAUUAAUGGCCUUCAUUUUGGCCAUAUUAAUCACAAUAUGUAUCCACGGUCAGCAAAGUUAAGGUUCAACACAGUAAAGGGAAACCCAGGCCAAAUCCUAGUGCGUCCACUAAAUUCCUUCCACAUAAUUUCUUUUUGUUUGUAUUAAAAGAUAGGCCGAUUUUUCACUUUCAAGGAUCCAUAGAGCUUUUAUAAAAUCAACAAUCCUUUCUUGAUUUCAUGGAUCCAAACAAUCAGACCACCGAGAUGGCUGAAACUGACUUUUAUAGAUAUGGGCAUCAAUUAAAAAAUGGAGUUCGCUCUGUUGAUGUUAAAUAAAAAGGCCUGAAAGGGCAUAAUUAAUU